AUGCAGUAUUUCCACAUUUAUUAAAGGUGCCCUGGCCACACAAAACCUUUUCCUUGCAUUUGUCCAAAUCUGCGAGGUCCAUGUAUGUAUGUGUGUGUGAAGAUGAACUGCUACCUCCUCUGUCAGCU